CGCUGAGGAGCCGGCCGGGCCGGGAGGCUGGGCCGUGUGGUCACAGUGGCGCCCGGGAGUGGGCGCCGCUGGCUCUGCUGUCUUGCUUCCGUGUUUGGUGAAUUGUGGGUAGUUUUGUCCUUUCCAGAAUUCAGACUUUCUUUGGUAUUUAAAAGGUGGAUAUUCCUUCUAUGUUUACGUGAUUCAGAGAUAAUCAUAGAGGAAAAUCCAUGUUUUCAGUAUCAAAUGCUGCUUGGGAAGUAUUUUGGGGAGAGACUGUAGGGCUAGCCCCACCCCUGGGCCCCGGGGCCCGGGCAGGUGAGUGCAUGUUGGGUGGACCACAUGCCGUGUCUUAAUGAAGGACGGAGGCCUGGAGCUCACCCACACUUGAGAGCCACGUCUGGCCAAGCAGCCCUCUCAGUGAAGACCACGUUGUGGGUCUGUUGUCUGCAUAUCUGUGGAGGUGUGUCUGUCCUACGUGACUUUCAUUUUUGGUGACUCAUGCGCAGGUUCGAGUUCUCCUGGACAGAAUCCUUCUUUGGUAUUUAAAAGGUAGAUUCUCCUUCUAUGAGUACAUUAUUUACGAUUAAUCAUAGAGGAAAAUCCACGUUUUCAGUAUCAAAUGCUGCUUGGAAACCUCCGAGGAUGGGACGUCACCAUCAAAGAAGAGAGGGAGCAGGGACAGACAGUGACAGAGCUCGCGCUUUGCAGGGGAUGAGUCUGGCUGACUUGCGCUCGGCCUGUGCUGUGUGGUUACGAGGUUGUGGUCUCAGGUUACGUCAUUGGCCUUGAGUGACUCCUGUUCUCCGUGUGCUCGCCAUGUUGAUAACGCAUUUUCCAGAAUGCCCUCUGCAGUCAUCUUAGAGGAUGCCUGGGCAGGCGGUCAGUUUUAGGAAGGGGCACUGGUCGGGGGACUGCUCCCUGGGAUGCGGAAGGAAGAGAUGUGUGAUCCACCCACGGGUGCGAACUCCGCACGCAGCGGUGCGUCACUUGCCCGCUAACCCCGCGUAUCGGAUCUGUUUAUCUUAGGCUUGCUCCUGGAGCUGAGGCCAACUUUGUCCCCGUGAGAGUGGCUCUCCCACCAGUGGGGUUGUUUGCUACUUGAAGAGAGAUUUCCCUGCCUGUGUUUGCAUCAUUUGUAACGCAUGGAUAAGGGCGGGCUCUCUCCAAGGAGCAAAUCCCGCCUGGGAAAGCAUCUGGAAAACAAGGCGGACUUCAGGGAGCAUCAGAGGCCAGGACUGCCAUGGGGUAGGCAAGCACAUGGUUGACCGUGGGGCACGUAGCUCUCUCUUACUGUUUGUGACCUGGCCUCUCGCCCUCCUCAUCCCCUGCAUCCUUCAGAGAACUUUCGGGACGAGAUGCUGACUUUGGCGAGGGCAGUGUUUCCUUUUCCAAGCUGCUGUUGUGUGGAGAACGUUGAUGCUUAACUUGAUGACGAAGUGUCCCCGAGCUGCUACUCUGGCACAUCUUCCCAGACGGGGUGCCAGGCCCAGGGAGGAGACCUCACGGUCAGCGUACGUCCCAGAUAUGAGAAAGAAGGGUCAACAGCAAGUCAGUGUCUAGUUUGUCCUGGAUGUGUUGGGGUCCCAGGCCUCCAUCCCCAGGGCAUCCUUGGGCUGGCUUCUGGGCUGUAACAUCCACUUGAGAGAAGGGAAGUAAGGGACCGGGGUGGCCCCAGGGCGCCGUGUUUUUAUGGCACUUGCCCUGGGACUGUAAGCCCUGGUUCUCGGCCCACGGGCCUCCCCUUGGUCUCGUUGCCAACAGUGACGGGAGGGCCCGGGGCUACUGAUGCCAUGAUCUGUUUGAUGAGAGCUGGCCCGUGGGGAUUCCACUUUCCUUUGGUGAACUUUGCUCUAGAUGAGUGCUUUUGAGUACCAGCUCGGUGGUCUUCUGGACAGAAUGCCAAGUUCGGGAGAAAGGACAUUCGUCUUAACACUGCUAUGCAAAUUGUGAGCGGGCAGUGGAUCCAGAGUGUGUUGGUUUUCGCUUAUGCUGUUUUUCUUUAACAAUGCAUGCUCUUGUGUCUUCUAACUCCCAGCAGCCACUGUGUCACCAGGGGGACUUCCUGGAGGGAGAGGCUUUGGGCAGAGGCAGUGGUUUUGCAGGCCAGGAAGGGUUGUCAGCAUUGGACAUUUACUUUGUAUGUCUGGGAGACAGUCCUGUCUUGGAGAGAUGCUGGGAAGCCCAGCCCAGUGCGGGCCGGGGCGCCGUGUGCAGGGUCAGUGUUGUCACCGGCCCCUCCCCCUUGGUCUCAGGCCCGGCAGGAGGCGAGCCCCCUCUGGGGAAGAUGCGGCGUGGUGCUCCCUGAAGCUGCUCUUUGGUACUUGAAGAGAGGAUACCCUUUGUAUGUUCACUUUAUUAAUGGCGAAUAUACAGGGGGAGACUCUUAUUUGCGUAUCAAACUCUGACCGGGAAGGCACUUGGACUCAGCUCCGUCUUCGGGACAGUGAUGCUGUUGUCAGCCCCUCUCAGGUGAUUCGUAUGUGGACCUGCCCUUUGUCACCACCAAGUCAUACCCAGGAGGCUUCCCAGGACAGCGUCAAACUCAGGAGAGAGACCCUGAUGUCAGACCCUUACAAGGGUGACGGAUGAGGGAAGGUGGACCACAGAGCUCUGUGUUUGUGAUGGUUCUAAGUCAGAUGGACCAACCCCUGCGAGUCCACCCUGGAGGGCUUCCUGGAGGUAGCAUCCACUUUGGAGAAGAGGCUGAGCUUUGCCUGACAGUGCUCCUCUCCGGUGUUUGGGAGAACACUCUCCUGCUCAGGGUCCCUGAGACGAAUCUGUAAGAACUAUUCUCUCUGUGAUUUGCGGUUCGAGUCUUGCCUGGACGGCGUCCUCCACGAGAACCGCACGGCUCUGGGAAGGAGGCCCGGGAGUCGUCACCCCGGGCCAGGACGGCUGGAAGAAGACGCCUUUUGUUCUGUGUGAGGACAUUUCUUGGGCUGUGUGACCAUCCGCCUCGCACAGCCUGACCGCCGUGGGGUCCUCUGGCCCUGAGGCCAGCAUCAGGGAAGGGGUAUUGCAGCAGCCCCCCGGAGGAGAGCAACUGUCGUCUGGGAGAGGUGAGCACCUCACCUGGGGGGUGAGUUAGGUCACCUGCUCACCUGUGGCCUCUAGUUUCUGCUUCUUCACAGGGGCCCUCUUGAGGGCAGAGGCCGCCACAGGGAACUGGUCGUGGGUCUGCUGUCUCCGUUCCUGGGUGGUCCAUGGAGUUUGACUCCUUUUCAGUAUGAACUCUUUCCUAGCAUGGCUUCCUGGGGGUAGGGAGGAGGCUGGUGCUGGGGCCGGACGUUGACAGCUAUGCCCCUGUGGGAGGAAUGGUGGGAUGGUGACCACAGGGCAUUUGCUUUAUCUGCGAUGAAAAUUCAUCCAGUCCCCUUCCCUCUGUGCAUUACCAGGAGGACUUCCUGGAGGAGGUGCCCAUGUGGGUCCACCCCCAGGGUUGUUCUGCAGAAAGUGAGAAGCUGAGUGCUGGGCGUGCCCUUGAAGGCCAUGGGGUCGAGCUCCUUUUCAGGAACAGAUCCUAAUUGGGAGUGAUUCCUGGAAAUGAUGCCGAUUUUAGUGAAGGAGCACUGGCUUCCGUCCCUCCUUGGGCUCCGUGGGAUGGAGAGCAGGCGGGUGGGCACACACCUGGCAGGAAGUGUUUGCCCCCUGGUCUGCCGAUCCUGCAUCUCCCACCCCCUAGGAUGCUUCCCGGGAGACAAGGCCAGCUCUGUGAGCGGUAGCGAUGGACCUGCCCAAUGCUAUUGUUUGGUACUUAAAGCGAGGUUGCCCUUUGUAUAUUCGGUUUUUUGGCAUAGAAUAUACAAGGGCAAGCUCUCUGUGAGUAUCAAACCUUGGACCCAGUCCACGCAAGGGAUUCGGUAUGUGUGUGCAUGACCGUGUGUGUCCAUUGGUAUGUGGCAUGUUGCUUCAGGGUUACCACUUUGCAGAGGUGCCUUCUCGGGUGCACGGCUGACUUGAGAGAAGGCGGUGGUCCUGGGAACAGCACCUCUCCCGUUUCUGCGGCGGGGCGGGGGGCCGUCAGGAGGCAUGCACCGUGUGUGCGGUCUGGGUCUGGAGACCCCUAUGUCGGGGUGGGUGUGGGCGGCGGUUACACCAUCACUGCACGUGUCUACGCGGCGCAGGUGGACUGAUCCACUAACCCUCAGCGUCUAAUUCGUCUGCAGGACUGCGCCUUGAAGACCUGCC